rnacentral:rRNA from 1 species
GUGCCAGCAGCCGCGGUAAUACGAAGGGUGCAAGCGUUACUCGGAAUUACUGGGCGUAAAGCGUGCGUAGGCGGCGUGGUAAGUCAGAUGUGAAAGCCCCGGGCUCAACCUGGGAAUGGCAUUUGAUACUGGCGAGCUAGAGUACGGUAGAGGGUGGUGGAAUUCCCGGUGUAGCGGUGAAAUGCGUAGAGAUCGGGAGGAACAUCUGUGGCGAAGGCAAUCCCCUGGGCCUGCACUGACGCUCAUGCACGAAAGCGUGGGGAGCAAACAGGAUUAGAUACCCUGGUAGUCCACGCCCUAA